GUCUGACUGCAUUCUAGCUCAGUCGGUAGAGCACGAGACGCUUAAUCUCAGUCGUGGGUUCGAAUCCCACAUUGGGCA